CAAUGUGAACGUUACCAAACUGUUGCCUCGGCGGGAUCUCUGCCCCGGGUGCGUCGCAGCCCCGGACCAAGGCGCCCGCCGGAGGACCAACCAAAACUCUUUUUGUAUACCCCCUCGCGGGUUUUUUAUAAUCUGAGCCUUCUCGGCGCCUCUCGUAGGCGUUUCGAAAAUGAAUCAAAACUUUCAACAACGGAUCUCUUGGUUCUGGCAUCGAUGAAGAACGCAGCGAAAUGCGAUAAGUAAUGUGAAUUGCAGAAUUCAGUGAAUCAUCGAAUCUUUGAACGCACAUUGCGCCCGCCAGUAUUCUGGCGGGCAUGCCUGUCCGAGCGUCAUUUCAACCCUCGAACCCCUCCGGGGGGUCGGCGUUGGGGAUCGGCCCUCCCUUAGCGGGUGGCCGUCUCCGAAAUACAGUGGCGGUCUCGCCGCAGCCUCUCCUGCGCAGUAGUUUGCACACUCGCAUCGGGAGCGCGGCGCGUCCACAGCCGUUAAACACCCAACUUCUGAAAUGUUGACCUCGGAUCAGGUAGGAAUACCCGCUGAACUUAAG
rnacentral:rRNA from 1 species